UAAGGAAUAUUGGUCAAUGGACGCAAGUCUGAACCAGCCAUGCCGCGUGAAGGAUGAAGGUCCUCUGGAUUGUAAACUUCUUUUAUGGGGGACGAAAUCUGCUUUUCUAAGUAGUCUGACGGUACCCCAGGAAUAAGCACCGGCUAACUCCGUGCCAGCAGCCGCGGUAAUACGGAGGGUGCAAGCGUUAUCCGGAUUCACUGGGUUUAAAGGGUGCGUAGGAGGGCAGGUAAGUCAGUGGUGAAAUCUUUGGGCUUAACCCGAAAACUGCCAUUGAUACUAUCUGUCUUGAAUAUGGUGGAGGUGAGCGGAAUAUGUCAUGUAGCGGUGAAAUGCUUAGAUAUGACAUAGAACACCGAUUGCGAAGGCAGCUCGCUACACCUAUAUUGACUCUGAGGCACGAAAGCGUGGGGAUCAAACAG
rnacentral:rRNA from 1 species